UAUACUGUAAGAGGAAGGAAGGCGGGCUGGCCUGGUGGCACAGUGGUUAAGUGCACACAUUCCACUUCAGCGGCCCAGGGUUCACCGUUUCGGAUCCUGGGUGCGAACGUGGCACCACUUGGCAAGUGGUGAUAGGCGUCCACAAAAAAGUAGAGGAAGAUGGGCACUGAUGUUAGCUCAGGGCCAGUCUUCCUUAGCAAAAAGAGGAGGAUUGGCAGCAGAUGUUAGCUCAGGGCUAAUCUUCCUCAAAAAAAAAAAAAAGGAGGGAAGAGGAAAAGGCAGCUUUGCCAAAAUGAUUUGGUAAAGGACAGAGAAGUAACGUACACGGAAAAAAAAGGAGGAACUCAAUCUUUGUCUUGUUAAAUUAGGUCAAAGAGAACUUCCAAAUCUAGUAAUCAAAUCAAUGCUCCAAUUAAAACAGAGAUCACUUAUUAUGUGUGAAAUAUUAUUUUAACAUCCAUGAAUAUGAGACAGAUAACAAUAGGUAUUUACCAUAGACCAUUCAGAGUCUUGUCUUAUACUUGAUUCACUGAGUAGUUCAGAUACUUAUCUGUUCCCUACACCAAAGGCAGCUAAGUCAAUUGUCUUCUAUUUCACAUACGCGUCGUCUCUAAUUUUCAAGGAAGUUCUCUGAGAUAGGCAUUUGUUGCAGGCAAAAUUUUGAAGAUGGCCCCCACAGAUGUUUCAUCCCAAUCCUAGAACCUUGAAUAUGAUGAGAUUUCACUCUGCUGAUUAUAUUGUGUUACAUGGCACAGUUGACCUUAGGAAAGGGAGGUUAUCCAAGUGGGCCUGAUCUAAAUAUAGGAGUCCUGAAAAGCUGAGUCCUUAAAUGGCUGACAGCAGAAGUCAGAGACACUCCAAGUGUGAGAAGGACUUGACGUGUCGUUGCUAGUUCAAAGAUGGAGGGGUCAGCCUCAGGAAACAGAAUGUGGGCAGCCUUAAAGAGCUGAGAGAGGCCCCCACUGACAGCCAAGGAGACAGGGACGUCAGUCCUAUAACCACAAGGAACUGAAUUCUGCCAAUAACAGGAAUGUGCUUAGGAGAGGACCCUUAGCUCCAGCAGAGAACGCAGCCGACCCACACCUUGAUUCCAGCCUGUGAGACUGUGAGCAGAAAACACCCACUGGGACUUCUAACCAACAGCACUGUGAGAUAAGAAAUGGGUGUUCCAAUCCUCUAGAUGGGUGUUAAUUUGUUACACUGCAAUAGAAAACUAACUUCCUUCUACAGAGGAGGAAACUGAGGCUCAAAGAAGUUAAAUUGGUUAAAAGUAUCUUGUGAAUGUGGUGAGGGCAGGGUUUGACUCAGGCCUGACAUCAGAGCCAGUUCACCCUUCUCCCUCACUGCCCAUAACAGGGGAGCUGCCCGUCCUGCCCACGCGGCUGCUAAGUAAUGUGUUAGCCAACCAGGAGCCACGGGGUGAAAAAGAAUAAAGCUCCCUCUGACUGAGGAAAGGAUGACUCACAUUCUUACUUAUUUUUAGAAACCAGCAUGAAACUAUGGGCUGAACAAUAGCUUGGGUUUCUGCUGUGAUCUGGAUCGGUGGGAGUGGCCCCCACUAUCUGCUCUGAGAUGUAUUAGCUGGUCUCCUUUUUAGCCACAAGGACUAGGUGACUGAUCUCCAAACAAGUGAACCUGAAUGGAUUUAGACAGAUUAACAUUCUAACAGCAAGAAGCAGUUUGGGGAAGAAAAAGCAAAUCCUGUGGCCCUUGUUAGCAUAGUGAAACACACACACAACACAUUCAAUAAAACCCCUCUCUCUGAGGCCUGGCUUUGUAAAUAUUAGCUUUAUAAAGGUAUAUCAGGUUAAAAAGGAGUUGCUUUGAAGAGCAGUUACCAUCAGGAUCUGGCCUCAGCUCCUUAUGUGACCUUUCCUUCCUCUUUCCAUCUUACUCCACCCUAGCCACAGGGCUGUCGGGCAUUCCCUUGGUAUGCCAAGCCUUGUGGUGCCUCAGGGCCAUUACACUGCUGUUCCUCAUGGCCUGGAGCAUCCUGCCUCUAGUUCCUGCCUUAAUUCACUCAGAUCGCUGCUUGAGUGGCAUCUUCUGGAGUGUCUUUCCCUGACCAUCUUAUUUAAAGCAGUUGUGCUGCCUGCCUGUCACUCUCUCGUUACUCUGCUUCCUUUUUCACCAUAACACUUCGACCACCUCAUGGGCCUCACGCAUGAGAAUAUAUUUAUUUGUUUGUUUGUUUGUUAUCAUCUGUCUCCUGCACUAGCAUGUAAGCUCUCGGAGGGCAGAGAAGCUGUGUUUCCUUUCUUCUUUGCUGUAUCUCCUGUGUCGAAAACAAUUCAUGGCACACAGCAGGGACUCAAAUAUUCAUUGAAUGAAUGAAUGCAUCAGAAACAAAAGUAUUGUGUCUGUUUAAACAUUUGUCACUCUUGAGGUAUCCCUGCAUCCAAUUUUUUUUCUCUUUUUUUAUAGCAUUUGCUAACCUGUUCAAUAUGGAAAAGACACUUGACUGCAUGGUUGUGCAAAGUCUGGGAUAAAAAGGAUUAAACACUAGAGAGUGUGGUAUAAGGAUGAAGUUCUUCAUCGCCUUUCCAGAGUUGUGUGACCUUUGAAAAGUCAUUUAUUUCUCUUGGCCCCAGGCGUAUAACUUUACAGUGGAGAAUCCUUAAGCAAAUAAUGAAGGUUAAUACCACCACUCAGAAGAGAUAUCAAUAUCCUGUUCACCCUCAAAUGAGGCACCAAGGACGCAUCACUUCUGUGGUACUCCUGCCAAGAAGGCAAACUUCAGUCUAAUCAUGAGUAAACAUCAGACGAAGCCAAACUGAGAGACGUUCGAAAAAUGAUUAGCUGGUACUGAUCAAUAGUGUCAAGGCCAGGAAAGGAAUGCAAAGACCGAGCAACUGUUGCAGGUUGGCGGAAACUAAGACACAGCAACUAAAUGCAAUAUAUCGACAUUUCUGCUCAUGUGAACUCUGUUUCUGAGCCCGGAAACUUCGACAUUCAACAACGAAAACUGAUGAGGGCUCCCAGGGUCGAUGAGCCUCACGUCAUCAUCCAGUCCCUGUUUCAUCAGACAUUCAAAUAGGAUUAUCCAUAUUUCUAUUUGGAUGCUUACUUUGAUUACAACAUUGAAAAAUUCACCAUUAUUGUUGUUUCUACUGCCUUAAUACCGUUAUUGUUGUAUUAAUAAUGAAUAUUGUAUGGAACACUUGUAUAUUGCCACUCACAAAGUAUCUUUUAAAAGAGUACCUUAUUUGAUCUGUAUUACUGUCCUUUGGGGAAGUACAGGAGGGUAGAUAAAAGAAUAAGAUUCAGAGUUUUACCAAGUUGUCUUUCUUUUUGAAAGAUUGGUUCUGAGCUAACAUCUUUUCCCAAUCUUUUUUUUUCCUUCUCUCCAAAGCCCCCCAGUACAUAGUUGUAUAUUCUAGUUGUAGGUCCCUCUGUUUGUACUAUGUGAGACGCCGCCUCAGCAUGGCCUGAUGAGCGGUGCUAUGUCCGCACCCAGGAUCCAAACCUGCGAAACCCUGGGCAGCCGAAUUGGAGCGUAGGAACUUAACCACUCGGCCACCAGGCCGGCCCCUCAAGUUGGCUUUGAAUCCCAGCUCUAUUCUUAAAUUUGGUUAGUCUCGAUGUCCUUAAGGGUAAAAUGGAGAUAGUACAACCUAACUCACACAGUUGUGGGUGGAUUUGGAGAAAUGAUACACAGAGCCUAGCUCAGUGACUGGGACAUAAAAGAACCCCAUAAAUGGUAGCUAUUACUUCUGUUGUUAUAAUUAUUCUCCUUUUCUACACAAGGAAACUGACGCUCAAAGAGAUGAAGAGAUUUACUGGGGAUUGUUUAUGCCAUUAGUAAUAAAGCUGUGGUUCAACUAUAAGUCUUCUGGAGUCAAAACCUGUCUGUGUUCUUUCCACAGUAUGACAUUGCCACCCAAAAGAACUCUUUUAGUAGACUAAAAGUGCCUAGUUUUGUUAUUUAACUUGUUUAAAAGAUAUUGGUUGUUUUUAAAAUAAAUUUUAUUUGAUGUU
rnacentral:lncRNA from 1 species